rfam:Capsicum annuum cultivar Zunla-1 chromosome 11, whole genome shotgun sequence
UGAUGAUGGUGAAGGCAAUUUUUGAGUAUACUUUUAAAUCUCUCCCAGUUUUGGUAGAGGUUCUCUCCUUCUUUCUAUGUGAAACCCAGAAUCUCACUUCUAAAAUG